rnacentral:lncRNA from 1 species
CUUCAUUUGAUGUGAUUGUUCUAUUUUAUCGUUUCUCACAGGGACCUGGUGACACCAGUGGAGGUUGCAAAUGUCGCGUGAACAACGUACGAUGUGAUCCACAAUGCAAAAACUGUCAUUGAUGUCUCACGUGCUAGUCAACUUUUAUUUAUACAAACAUCCAUUACACCAUAGGUGAUAUUUUUAUAGCCACGUUUAGACUAACAUAAAUAAAUAUACAAUACAAACUUGCUGUCGGAUCUUAUUUUCUUCAGGUGAUUUCAAUGCAGGACAUUAGAACAUUUUCACUACGACAAACGUCUGUUCACGAUCCGCG